AUCAUUACAGAGUUACUACUCCAAACCCAUUGUGAACCUUACCUAUGUUCUGUUGCCUCGGCGGCGUGGUCAGCGCCCCCUCUGAAAAGAGGACGAUGCCCUCCCGCCGGCAGCACCAAACUCUUUGAAUUUUACAGCGGAUUACAGUUCUGAUUUGAAAACAAAAAAGAAGUUAAAACUUUCAACAACGGAUCUCUUGGUUCUGGCAUCGAUGAAGAAGCAGCGAAAUGCGAUAAGUAAUGUGAAUUGCAGAAUUCAGUGAAUCAUCGAAUCUUUGAACGCACAUUGCGGCCGAGUAAUCUGCCGGCAUGCCUGUCCGAGCGUCAUUUCAACCCUCGAACCUCCGUUUCCUCAGGGAAGCUCAGGGUCGGUGUUGGGGCGCUACGGCGAGUCUUCGCGACCCUCCGUAGGCCCUGAAAUACAGUGGCGGUCCCGCNGCGGUUGCCUUCUGCGUAGUAAGUCUCUUUUGCAAGCCUGCAUUGGGUCCCGGCGGAGGCCUGCCGUCAAACCACCUAUAACUCC
rnacentral:rRNA from 1 species